GAUUAGCCAGUAGCGGAGAGAAUAGAGCAUGUCUGCUGUUACGGCUGCUCUGUCAACCAGGGGAUCAUUGGGGUUUCAGCCUGCUGCAGAGUCCCUGGAGGUAGAAUACCUGUGUAUGGAGGGCUGAUGUAACACCAGGGCUGCCCUAGACAAAAAGAAGGACUGAAAGGAAAACCUGAAGAGGAGCUUCUCAGAUAUAAUUUCAGUGAAAUCUAGCAAGAUGAUGCCUCAUGUGCUUUGGAAAUGUAAAGAGAAGAUCAUCACUGCAGUUCACUUUUCCUGAUCAGACACUGAGGUAAUUAAAAACCUAAAGAUGCUAUGGAGAAAAUCAACCUCUGAGGUUCUUCUGAGUCUCUGUUUUGAGCUUCUAAGAUGUUGCUUGGAAUGUAAACUUUCUGAUUGCCAGUGCCUGCAUGUCAAAGACCCCCACUGAAGUCUUGUGAUGAAUAAAGAAGACAGGGAAUAUGGAAUCACAAAUGCAAACCUGGC
ensembl:lncRNA